UGAUAAUAAAGCCAUGUAAUCUGUCUAUAAUAUGGUACUUGAAUGUUGUAAGGUUAUUAGCAAUAUUUUUACAUGUCUGAUUUAUUUAAACUUAUGUGUUUCUUUUCUUAGGUGAUUGCAGGCAUGGAAAGAGUAUUAUAUUGGGUUUGGAGUACCAACGAUUGAAUUCUUAAAUCGAUGUGUGCACGGAUGGAUGCAGAAGCAACGAAUUUCAAGAAUACUAGAUAUUUAUAUUUACAUUUUGCUUUCUAGUAGAGUAGAGUAGACUUGUACUUUUCAUUACUAUGUGUAUUUGCUCUUUAGAAUUAUAUAAUUAUGUAUAGCGAACUGUCAUGUGAUGUAAGAAAGUACUACAAUUGAAACUUUCCUACAAUCAAUGUGAGGUCCUAUGGUUUUUGAAAUA